AGAGUUUGAUCAUGGCUCAGGACGAACGCUGGCGGCGUGCCUAAUACAUGCAAGUCGAGCGGAUCACUUCGGUGAUCAGCGGCGGACGGGUGAGUAACACGUGGGCAACCUGCCUGUAAGACUGGGAUAACUUCGGGAAACCGGAGCUAAUACCGGAUAAUCCUUUUCCUCUCAUGAGGAAAAGCUGAAAGACGGUUUCGGCUGUCACUUACAGAUGGGCCCGCGGCGCAUUAGCUAGUUGGUGAGGUAACGGCUCACCAAGGCGACGAUGCGUAGCCGACCUGAGAGGGUGAUCGGCCACACUGGGACUGAGACACGGCCCAGACUCCUACGGGAGGCAGCAGUAGGGAAUCUUCCGCAAUGGACGAAAGUCUGACGGAGCAACGCCGCGUGAGCGAUGAAGGCCUUCGGGUCGUAAAGCUCUGUUGUUAGGGAAGAACAAGUAUCGGAGUAACUGCCGGUACCUUGACGGUACCUAACCAGAAAGCCACGGCUAACUACGUGCCAGCAGCCGCGGUA
rnacentral:rRNA from 1 species